UUAGCAGGUGGGGAGUGCAGUACGUUUGGUACCACAUAAAUAUUUGGACAUUUCAUGGCAUGAUGAUUUUGACAUGGAAUUUAAUGUGUUUGUUUGUCUCAUAGUUGCACCUACACAGGAGAUAGAUUGCUGUGCCUUAUGAGAGAAGCUUGCAGUUCGUCUGAUGUUAUAUAAGUCUGAAGAUGAUGGGUGUUUACUAUAAGGAGACUUGAUGGUUCAGUGUGCCGCAACCCCCAAGACAGAAGCCUGCAGUUUGCCGUGUUAUAAGAUGAGU